rnacentral:lncRNA from 1 species
AAGGUGAGAUCCCGUAUGAGCAUCCACAGCACUAAAAGGAUCAUCAAAUAGAUAGAUAUCAGCAUCUUGGUAAAGAGCACGAGCUAUUUGUAUUCUUUGUUUCUGUCCACCACUCAAAUUUAUUCCACGCUCGCCUAUAACUGUCUGAUCACCAAAUGACAAGAUUUCUAAAUCCUUCUUCAAGGAACAUGCUUCAAGUACCUUUUCAUACCUUUCCCUAACCAUGUUUUCACCAAACAAUAUAUUAUCCUCUAUCUUGCCACUUUGAAUCCAUGGUGAUUGAGCGACAUAGGCCUUUGUUCCACAAACCUUAAGGACGCCUGAUAUCUUCGGUACUUCUCCCAAUACACAAGAAAGUAAAGUAGACUUUCCUGAUCCAACAGUACCACAAACAGCAACCUUCAUGCCAUGAGAAACUUUGAGAUUUAUGUUCUGCAAAGUUGGACUAGGCAAAGAUAACUCCCAAGAAAAAUUCCCAUCAACCACUUC